UGAGGAAUAUUGGUCAAUGGGCGGGAGCCUGAACCAGCCAAGCCGCGUGACGGAAGAAGGCGCUAAGCGUCGUAAACGUCUUUUGCCGGGGAAGCAAAGGCGCGGACGCGUCCGCGUGUGAGUGUACCCGGAGAAAAAGCAUCGGCUAACUCCGUGCCAGCAGCCGCGGUAAUACGGAGGAUGCGAGCGUUAUCCGGAUUUAUUGGGUUUAAAGGGUGCGUAGGCGGCCCGUUAAGUCAGCGGUAAAAGCCCGGGGCUCAACCCGGCGAGCCGUUGCAAUACUGGGGCGGUGAGACGGCGAGAAGUACGCGGAAUGCGCGUGUAGCGGUGAAAUGCAUAGAUAUCGCGCAGAACUCCGAUUGCGAAGGCAGCGUACCGGCGCCGGACUGACGCUGAGGCACGAAAGCGUGGGUAUCGAACAGGAUUAGAUACC
rnacentral:rRNA from 1 species